CGAAAGGGGCGGUAAUACCAGAUAAUGUCCUUCGGGACCAAAGAUUUAUCGGCAUUGGAGCGGNCUAUCUCCUAUCAGCUUGUUGGUGAGGUAACGGCUCACCAAGGCAACGACGGGUAGCGGGACUGAGAGGUUGGCCCGCCACAUCGGGACUGAGACACUGCCCGGACCUCCACGGAGGGCUGCAGUAACGGAUAUUGGGCAAUGGGCGAAAGCCUGACCCAGCAAUGCCGCGUGCAGGAUGAAGCCCCUAGGGGUGUAAACUGCUGUCAGGGGUCAGAAAGCUGGUUUCGGCCAGUUGAUCAACCCCAGAGGAAGUCACGGCUAACUUCGUGCCAGCAGCCGCGGUAAUACGAAGGUGGCAAGCGUUAUUCGGAAUCAUUGGGCUUAAAGGGCACGCAGGCGGAACAGUGUGUGUUGUGUGAAAUCCCCCGGCUUAACCGGGGAAUUGCACAGCAAACUGCUGUUCUUGAGGCAGGUAGGGGUGCAUGGAACUCUUGGUGGAGCGGUGGAAUGCGUAGAUAUCAAGAGGAACGCCAGAGGUGAAGACGGUGCACUGGGCCUGUCCUGACGCUGAGGUGCGAAAGCGUGGGGAGCGAACGGGAUUAGAUACCCCGGUAGUCCACGCCGUAAACGAUGUCUACUAGGUCGUGGGUGUUCUGACACAUUCACGGCCGGAGCAAAAGUGCUUAGUAGACCGCCUGGGGAGUACGGCCGCAAGGUUAAAACUCAAAUGAAUUGACGGGGGCUCACACAAGCGGUGGAGCAUGUGGAUUAAUUCGAAGCAACGCGCAGAACCUUACCUGGGUUUGACAUGCUUGUAUGCCUUCUCUGAAAGGAGUUAGGCUGCCUUCGGGUGAAACUUGCACAGGUGCUGCAUGGCUGUCGUCAGCUCGUGUCGUGAGAUGUCGGGUUAAGUCCUUUAACGAGCGAAACCCUUGCCGUUAGUUGCCAGCGAGUAAUGUCGGGGACUCUAACGGGACUGCCGGUGUUAAACCGGAGGACCCCUGGGGAUGACGUCAAGUCCUCAUGGCCUUUAUGCCCAGGGCUUCACACGUGCUACAAUGGCAAUUACAGAGCGACGCGGUACCGCGAGGUGGAGCAAAUCGCAAAAAAAUUGCCUCAGUUCGGAUUGCAGGCUGGCAAUUCGCCUGCAUGAAGUCGGAAUCGCUAGUAAUCGCGUAUCAGCAAUGACGCGGUGAAUGUGUUCCUGAG
rnacentral:rRNA from 1 species